rnacentral:rRNA from 1 species
AGUGAACGCUGGCGGUAGGCCUAACACAUGCAAGUCGAACGGCAGCACAGUAAGAGUUUGCUCUUACGGGUGGCGAGUGGCGGACGGGUGAGGAAUACAUCGGAAUCUACUUUUUCGUGGGGGAUAACGUAGGGAAACUUACGCUAAUACCGCAUACGACCUACGGGUGAAAGUAGGGGAUCUUCGGACCUUGCGCGAUUGAAUGAGCCGAUGUCGGAUUAGCUAGUUGGCGGGGUAAAGGCCCACCAAGGCGACGAUCCGUAGCUGGUCUGAGAGGAUGAUCAGCCACACUGGAACUGAGACACGGUCCAGACUCCUACGGGAGGCAGCAGUGGGGAAUAUUGGACAAUGGGCGCAAGCCUGAUCCAGCCAUACCGCGUGGGUGAAGAAGGCCUUCGGGUUGUAAAGCCCUUUUGCUGGGAAAGAAAAGCAGCAGGUUAAUACCCCGCUGUUCUGACGGUACCCAAAGAAUAAGCACCGGCUAACUUCGUG